AGCUGAGUUUGGGUUAGGUUAGGGAGGAGGAGGAGGUGAGCUGAGUUUGGGUUAGGUUAGGGAGGAGGAGGAGGAGGUGAGCUGAGUUUGGGUUAGGUUAGGGAGGUGGAGGAGGAGGCGAGCUGAGUUUGGGUUAGGUUAGGUUAGGGAUUGCUUGCGGUAAAUCAGGUUUAGUUAGGUAAGAUUAGCGGACUUUUUUUCUACUUCUCUGCCCUUGAGCUGCUUCCUUUACUGUAAAAAAAAAAAGGUUUAGUAAUAAUAAAAAGGAAAUAAGUCUGCACCUUUAGACAGAAACCGUAGACAGACAAUGAGUUACGUAUGGUUAGGUUAGAUUAAAAUAGCUUGGGGUAGGUCAGGUUUGGUUAAGUAAGAUUUAGAGAUAACAAGAAGGAAAUACGUAUAGCCUCAUAUAUAUGCGAUAAGAAACAGAAACCAUAGACACAAUAAGUUACAUAUGGUUAGGUUAGAUUAAUAUAGCUUGGCGCAGGUCAGGUUUGGUUAAGAAAGAUUUAGAGAUAACAAGAAGGAAAUACGUAUAGCCUCAUAUAUAUGCGAUAAGAAACAGAAACCAUAGACACAAUAAGUUACAUAUGGUUAGGUUAGAUUAAUAUAGCUUGGCGCAGGUCAGGUUUGGUUAAGUAAGAUUUAGAGAUAACAAGAAGGAAAUGCGUAUAGCCUCAUAUAUAUGCGAUAAGAAACAGAAACCAUAGACACAAUAAGUUACAUAUGGUUAGGUUAGAUUAAUAUAGCUUGGGGUAGGUCAGGUUUGGUUGGGUAAGGUUGAGAGAUAAUAAUAAUAAAAUACGUAUAGCCUCAUAUAUAUGCAAUAAGAGGCAGAAACCAUAGAUACAAUAAGUUACAUAAGUUUAGGUAGGUCAGGUUUGUUUCGAUAAGGUAUAGAGAUGAAUACCGAUUAAUACGAAGCCUCAAAUUUAUGCGUAAGACGAAAUAACAGAGAGAAACCAUAGACACACUGAGUUACGUUAGCUUAGGUUAGGUUAGGAUAGCUCGCGGUAAGUCAGGUUCGGUAUGGAGUACAAAAUAAGAACUUCAUUGUACCUCAGUCAGCGUUGCCAGAUUAUCGUACUCAGAGCAUCGUAUUUACCGGUUUCUGUUCCAUAACAAUUGUCAAGAAACACCAAUAAUUAACCAUUUUCUCGAUGAUUUUAUAUGAAGCCAGUUUUGGGGGUGGAGGAAACAGUUUUUAGGUCGGAAAUCGGUAAACAUAAGAGGCUAAGUACGACAGUCUGGUAACGAUGACCUCAGUGGGUUAGUUCACUUAGCUGGACAUGGAAGGUCAGAAGAGACAGUCCAUUCUCUCAGGUGAGGUGCAGAGGUAAAGUAUGGGACUCUUAGUAAGUAUGGUAAGUAGUAAAGAGGUGUGUGUGUGUGUGUGUGUGUGUGUGUGUGUGUGUGUGUGUGUGUUGAUUUGGUAAGUACGUUUGCUUCUUUGAUUUCUCUGUGCAUUGUAAUUUACUUGCAUGUUUAGAAGUUAAGUGAUAUAUUUUAUGUUUAUAGUAUAGUUUUAGAAGUAGAAGUAGUAGUAGUAGUAAUAGUAGUAGUGGUAGUAGUAGUAGUGGUGGUGGUGGUAGUAGUAGUAGUAGUAGUAAUAAUAAUAAUAAUAAUAAUAAUAAUAAUAAUAAUGAUAA